rnacentral:tRNA from 1 species
CCCCUCUUGUUAAUGAAGGAAAUCAGGACUGCAAAUCUUGAAAUUGAACUUAAUUCCCUUCAUUU